UCUCCGUUGGUGAACCAGCGGAGGGAUCAUUACAGAGUUGCAAAACUCCCAAACCAUUGUGAACGUUACCUAUCCCGUUGCUUCGGCGGGCGGCCCGGGCCCCGCGCCCGGCGCCCCCCGGCCCCCCGUGGGCGCCCGCCGGAGGUAAACCAAACCCUUGAAUUACAUGGCCUCUCUGAGUCUUCUGUACUGAAUAAGUCAAAACUUUCAACAACGGAUCUCUUGGCUCUG
rnacentral:misc_RNA from 1 species